rnacentral:rRNA from 1 species
UUUGAUCCUGGCUCAGAAUCAACGCUGGCGGCGUGCCUAACACAUGCAAGUCGAACGAGAAAGUGGAGCAAUCCAUGAGUAAAGUGGCGACCGGGUGAGUAACACGUGACCAAUCUACCCUUGAGUGGGGGAUAACCUCGGGAAACCGGGGCUAAUACCGCAUAACAUCUCUGGAUCGGAAGAACCGGAGAUCAAAGGAGCAAUUCGCUUAAGGAGGAGGUCGCGGCUGAUUAGCUAGUUGGCGGGGUAAUGGCCCACCAAGGCAAAGAUCGGUAGCCGGCCUGAGAGGGCGCACGGCCACACUGGAACUGAAACACGGUCCAGACUCCUACGGGAGGCAGCAGUGGGGAAUUUUGCGCAAUGGGGGAAACCCUGACGCAGCAACGCCGCGUGGAGGAUGAAGUCCCUUGGGACGUAAACUCCUUUCGACCCGGACGAUAAUGACGGUACGGGUGGAAGAAGCCCCGGC